rnacentral:tRNA from 1 species
GCUGAGUUAGCUCAGUCAGUAGAGUAUGAGACUCUUAAUCUCACAGUCGUGGGUUCAAGCCCCACGUUGGGCG